rnacentral:rRNA from 1 species
AGUGAACGCCGGCGGUAGGCCUAACACAUGCAAGUCGAACGGCAGCACAGUAAGAGCUUGCUCUUACGGGUGGCGAGUGGCGGACGGGUGAGGAAUACAUCGGAAUCUACUUUUUCGUGGGGGAUAACGUAGGGAAACUUACGCUAAUACCGCAUACGACCUACGGGUGAAAGCAGGAGAUCUUCGGACCUUGCGCGAUUGAAUGAGCCGAUGUCGGAUUAGCUAGUUGGCGGGGUAAAGGCCCACCAAGGCGACGAUCCGUAGCUGGUCUGAGAGGAUGAUCAGCCACACUGGAACUGAGACACGGUCCAGACUCCUACGGGAGGCAGCAGUGGGGAAUAUUGGACAAUGGGCGCAAGCCUGAUCCAGCCAUACCGCGUGGGUGAAGAAGGCCUUCGGGUUGUAAAGCCCUUUUGUUGGGAAAGAAAAGCAGCAGGUUAAUACCCCGCUGUUCUGACGGUACCCAAAGAAUAAGCACCGGCUAACUUCGUG